AGUGGAAGAUGGUCACGGGGGUAUGUAGUGCGAAAUCAACUCUUGGACGAUCUUCAGUAAAUAUCGACAGAAGCUGUAAAAUGUAAAUGUAGCUAAAUUAAUUCAUUUAUAUAUAAAUAUAUUUUAUGAUGUAUAACGUGUUUUCCGAUUUACAUAUUUUGGUAAAACGAUAGGAGAUUGGAGACAAGUUUUAAAGUGAAAAGGUGUAGAUGGGAUGCCACCAUGCUCUACUUGCAUGCACAUGCACCAGCGCUUAAGCAGCCCACCACAUGUUGUAAUCUCUCUCUCUCUCUCUCUCUCUCUCU
rnacentral:lncRNA from 1 species